ACUUAAUACAGGUAAAUCUCACCCUUAGAGAUGUUCCAAUAAGCAUCUUUCACAGACUAGACUCCUUCCUAUUCUGGGCCCAAUCCUUUCCCUGGUACAGACCUUUAGUUCCAGUUCAGGUGGUAAUUUGGGCAUUUCUCAUGAUUGGCAGCCCCCUUUGUUCUGUUCCAUCCCCUUUUAUAAACUUUGGCACAAGGCGGCAAUCUUAUUUCUCUGGGUCCCUACCCCUCCUUCUAAAUGGAAAAGCACCAGGUUUAAGAUGGAAUCCAGAGAUUGGAAGAGCACACAUCUG